CCUCUACUGCAAUAUGAACUCCUUGUUUUGUAAGUAUCCAACCUCAACCACUGAAGUCCUAAAGAAUGUCAGGGCUUCCAACUGCCUAUAUGUGGCCUUUCCAUUUGAAUAUCCUACUGGCAGCUCAAAAUCAGUAUCCCUGCCCAAUCUACUCCUCCAGCAAACUGCUUCUCCUUCUUGGUUACCUGACUGCUAUCAGCUUAGUGACACCAACUUCUCAUUUCCAGUCACUCAGCUGGUGACAAGCACCUAAUCUGGGCCAGGCACGACAAUCUCUGAAGAGGAAAUGCCACAAUUCAGCUGAUUUCCUCAUUCUCUUUGGGCAUCUUCAUUACUUCCUAUUUAAUUUGCAAUUAAAAAUAAUGUGG